rnacentral:rRNA from 1 species
CCAAAAAAACAUGUCUUUUUGAAUUUUAAUUUAAAGUUGUCUCUGCCCAAUGAAAUUUUUAAUGGCCGCAGUAUUUUGACUGUGCAAAGGUAGCAUAAUCAAUAGUUUUUUAAUUGAAAACUUGUAUGAAAGAGUUGAUAAGAUAUAAACUUUAUUUUAAUAAAAUUAUAAUUUAAAAUUUAAGUAAAAAUGCUUAAAUAUAUUUGUGGGACGAGAAGACCCUAUAGAAUUUUAUAUUAUUUAAUUUGAUUAAAUUUAUUAUUUUUUAAUUAUAUUAAGGUAAUAUUUUAUUGGGAGGAUAAUUAAAUUUAUUAAACUUUAUUAAAAUUUAUUCAUUAAUUAAUGAAUUAAAGAAUUUUUAAAAUAAAUUAUUAGAUUAAAUUACCUUAGGGAUAACAGCGUGAUAUUUUUGGAGAGUUCUUAUUGAUAAAAAUGUUUGCGACCUCGUGUGGA